CUGAUAGAAACCCAAAAAUACCUUUUCUGGAAAGAGCUGGUAUAUUAAUAUUCUUAUUUUCCAAAUAAAGAGCAAAAUACAUGUAGUUGAGGUUGGAACUGGCAUUUCAAUGUGACACAUGCAAGACGUAGGCAUGCUGCAGCACUAGCUUUUAACUGAACCUAAGAAAUGAGCUUUAGAUUUUCUCCUGUAUCUCCGUAUCCCCUCUCUAGUAAGGGCAGAACUGAGGAUGCAUCCUCUUCACUACUCUUUUGUUACUUAAGGAUGUGUUUUCACAAUUAGUGUAAGCUUAUCCAAUAUUACUCUGCUGCUGAAAGGGACUUUCCUGCCCCGUGUCACAUGCUUGACCUGCUUUCCAGAUUGCAGCAGACAUGACUGCAUGGCUGUAGAGUCACUCCAGCUCAUUUAUCUAACUGGAAACUAAGCCGCCAAGUUAAAGCAGCGAGUUCUCUAUCAGCUCUUAGUUUGAUCUGAUUUGCGUUAGGACUGUAGGCACAGUUGUUGAAGCCAGCACCACAUAAGGAAGCAGGACAGGACACGGAAAGGGACAGCAGACCUGGCUCUUCCAGCAACAGUCACUUACUUUUCUGUACAAUUUUAUUUAGGGGAAAAAAAAUAUUUUCUUAUUUCACACAAUGGGGAAUUACUACUCUAUAUGCAAAUACUGUGCCUUUAAAGUUGUAUAAAAAUUUGAGUGAGACAUAACAAAAUAGAGGCCUCGUGCCUUUCAUCUGUUUGACACUUAUUUUGAUCAUGCUGUAGAGCACUGACAGGUUUAAAGCAAAGAGUUGUAUUGCCGAUGGUGAAAACUAUGAUAGGAGAAAAAUUACUCCUGCAGAGGCUCGGGCUGGCUGUUGUAGUGACCUGCCGAGACAGAACCCUGCCAUCUGGUGGAACGCGUUGAUACUGAAGUACUCAGCCAGCUUUGCUUCUCAAACACGUCUUGCUUGGGUUUUUUUCCUUCCCUUUUUUUUUUUAACAUAUGAUGCGUUUGUUUCCACAGAGACGGUGUGACUGGCUCAGAAUGCCCAGAGCAGCCAGUGCCUGCACCUGGGAAAUCCUCUGAAAAGCCAGGAUAGGAUUUUCCCGUUCUCACAAACUUCUUUUGGCAUCUUUUACCAGCAAUCUCGGAGACUGGUUUCUGAAUGAAAAGCUUUAACCAGAUUGGGAAGGCUGUUCUUAGGAUCAAGAUGUUUAUGCAUCCUUCUGAACCAGUGCUCUCUUUUUCAAUGGAUGCCUUUCCUCUCUCUUACUGGACUUCGCAGUUCUGUAACAACAUGUUAGCACUGUGCCCAUCCAUAGUUAUAAAUCUACACUGGCUACUUAAAUGUUGGCACUCCAGGCUCCUGGUCUCUGUGCUCUUUAGAGGGGGAAGAGGAAUAUUCAGAAAGAAGAGAAAGUACCAGAAGUACCAACACAGUCCAACUACACUGCAGUACUGGAAAACCACUGUACUUCCGAUUACAGCUGCAGUGAAAGUACAUUUCUAUCAGCACAGUAAGAAAGAAUAAAAGAUAAAGGAGAUGCUUCUUGGCACACCUGCUUAAUGCAGCUCCUUUCACAUCCCAUGGUGCCAGUAGCCUUGAUAUUCCUUUUCAUAUUUCCUGGGAGAAGUGAAGCAGCAGCACAGUCCCCUUCAAUGCCACAGCCAGCAGAGGGUGUAGCACUGACUCCAAGUGUUCUGCACUGCCUGAGGUACCUCAGCUCCCGUUUGAAGCCUUUUGCCUGAGGAAUGACCAAGUCUCCCUUGUUUGUGAGGGCAAUGGGGUUUUGUCUGGAAUAACAAAAACAAGAUGGAAAAUGAGGUAUUAGCUAGUCCAGGGUUUUGUUUAGGUUUUAAGUUAGUCAAAGCCUUUGGGCCAGUUACCAGGUUGCUUAAGCCACCCUUGAAUAGCUUCAGAAACAUGAUGCAAAAAUGAAGAAUCCUGCAUCUGAACUCAGACCAAAAAUGCAAACUUUAUUCCUACAACAUGCAAAGGCAACAUCCACUAGAUACAAGCAUUCAUAUCCAAAUCAUAGCUUUAUACCUAAUUCAUAACUCUGCUAAAUCUGUCAUUACGAAGUUGUGGAUGUAAAAUAGAUAGCCUUUCAUUUGGAGUAAAGUAAUCCAUGUUUUUGAGAUUGGGUUGAUUGAGGUUGAUUCAGGCUGAUGUCUUUUUUCUCUAAUUUGUAUUUAGUAAAUUAACUUACUAUUCAGAAUAAUAAACCUCAAUUUAAAAUAAGACCAACUAGGUCAGUACAGUAGUAAUUGUUCUUUUCCAUGCAGUCUUAAGGGAAUAGGCAACACUUGCCUGCUGUCUCCUUCUAUUUGCAAUCACAGUUUAAAUCCUUAGCAGAAUUAGCUAGAGGAGCCUCUUUCAGAAAAUGUGUGGCUGUACUGAAAAAUUUUCUGUCUUGAUUUUGCCACGGAGUCUACUCUUGCCUGGUGACUAA